rnacentral:rRNA from 1 species
GAUGAACGCUGGCGGCGUGCUUAAUACAUGCAAGUCGAGCGAAAGGACGUGAAGAGUUCUUUUGGAUUGAAUGCGAAGGGCGGGUGAGUAAACGGUGGAUAAACUACCUAUCAGACUGGGAUAACUUAGGGAAAAGGGUGCUAAUACGGGAAAUAAUUUCGAAUGACAUGUAACAAAAGUAAAAGAGGGUGGUGAUGUCACUAAUAGAUUGAGACGCGCUGCAUUAGCAAGUUGGUAAGGUUACGGCUUACCAAGGCAACGAGGUAUAGCCGACCUGAGAGGGUGAUCGGCCACACUGGAACGGAGACACGCUCCAGACUCCUACGGGAGGCAGCAGUAGGGAAUCUUCCGCAAUGGGCGAAAGCCUGACGGAGCAACGCCGCGUGAGUGAUGAAGGUCUUCGGAUCGUAAAACUCUGUUAUUAGGGAAGAACAUAUGUGUAAGUAACUGUGCACAUCUUGACGGUACCUAAUCAGAAAGCCACGGCUAACUACGUG